GAUGAACGCUGGCGGCGUGCCUAAUACAUGCAAGUCGAGCGAACAGACGAGGAGCUUGCUCCUCUGACGUUAGCGGCGGACGGGUGAGUAACACGUGGAUAACCUACCUAUAAGACUGGGAUAACUUCGGGAAACCGGAGCUAAUACCGGAUAAUUUAUUGAACCGCAUGGUUCAAUAGUGAAAGACGGUUUUGCUGUCACUUAUAGAUGGAUCCGCGCCGCAUUAGCUAGUUGGUAAGGUAACGGCUUACCAAGGCGACGAUGCGUAGCCGACCUGAGAGGGUGAUCGGCCACACUGGAACUGAGACACGGUCCAGACUCCUACGGGAGGCAGCAGUAGGGAAUCUUCCGCAAUGGGCGAAAGCCUGACGGAGCAACGCCGCGUGAGUGAUGAAGGUCUUCGGAUCGUAAAACUCUGUUAUUAGGGAAGAACAAAUGUGUAAGUAACUAUGCACGUCUGGACGGUACCUAAUCAGAAAGCCACGGCUAACUACGU
rnacentral:rRNA from 1 species